UUUGCAUGAUGAUAAAAUUUCUUCAACUGAACAUUACUUGAAGAAUAUUUUACGUUGACAUUUUUUAAUCUGACGACA
rfam:Anopheles funestus strain FTMOZ unplaced genomic scaffold supercont1.5, whole genome shotgun sequence.